rnacentral:rRNA from 1 species
GAUGAACGCUGGCGGCGUGCUUAACACAUGCAAGUCGAACGGUGAAGCAGGAGCUUGCUCUUGUGGAUCAGUGGCGAACGGGUGAGUAACACGUGAGCAACCUGCCCCUGACUCUGGGAUAAGCGCUGGAAACGGCGUCUAAUACUGGAUAUGUGAUGUGACCGCAUGGUCUGCAUCUGGAAAGAAUUUCGGUUGGGGAUGGGCUCGCGGCCUGUCAGCUUGUUGGUGGGGUAAUGGCUCACCAAGGCGUCGACGGGUAGCCGGCCUGAGAGGGUGACCGGCCACACUGGGACUGAGACACGGACCAGACUCCUACGGGAGGCAGCAGUGGGGAAUAUUGCACAAUGGGCGGAAGCCUGAUGCAGCAACGCCGCGUGAGGGAUGACGGCCUUCGGGUUGUAAACCUCUUUUAGCAGGGAAGAAGCGAAAGUGACGGUACCUGCAGAAAAAGCACCGGCUAACUACGUGCCAGCCGCCGCCGUAA